GAUUUAUUCGACAAUAAUCGGACACAAUCGGCUAAAGGAUCGAAUACGAAGGAUUGAACCGAUGACGUCCGAUUAUUGCCGAACCGAUA